AUAAAGUGAUAUCAAAACAGUAUGAGUUAGCCACAAAAAGAAGGUCAAGAAUAUUCUCAGAGGAAAUCUUGAAGCAGGAAGAAAUAUCCAAAGGGUAGAAUAUGCAUGACAUUUUCAAAGGACUGAGACAUUUUCAAUAUGGAGAAGCAGAGAAUGCAAACAUGGAGAUAAUGAAAUGCAAGCUCUGAAGCGAAGUUUGGGCUGCUCAUCAAAGCCACGCUGGAGGAGCGGAAACGUGGGAUCAGAGGGGAUAGUGUCAUGAUCUGACAGAUUGUAACCGGGAACGUGGGACUGGACAGAAAUUCUAAGCAGCACAAACACGAACUUGCUUAGCCUGGCAGAAUGCCUGAGGGGGCUUGGAAAUACGCUGAGGGAGGCAAGGACGAGAGACUGGAGAAAGGACCACAGAGGAGAGGCCAUAUGGAGACACAGUGUGACAGCAGUUAUCUGCAAGCCAGGAAGUGAGAUCUCACCAGAAACCAAUCCUGAU